ensembl:lncRNA
GGAACCGUCCCCAGUCCUGGCCUAGAUGGAGCACAAGCCACACAGUUGGUUAAAUUAAUUUGGUCCGCUGAGUACAUCAUCCACUCUAGCCAUACAUUCCAUCGGUGUAACCAGUCUCUAUUGUUAGAGUCUCCUUGAAUCUUGAAUUCUGGGGUGCAGCCGUUUCCGGUCCUCUUCCCCUUCCUUUCCUUGGGCCUUCUCUAAGUUUCUCCCACCCAUAUAUAGAGCCCACCACUGUAACAGUGAUGAAAGCAAGAAUCGUAUCUCUGAGACAACACAGUCCUUGUUGUCUGAAUGGGGGCCAUUUAGGUGGCGCCAUUGUUUGCCAAUUUCUGCAGUGCGGAGCCACCACCGACCUCCUGCUGGGACACCCCUAAAUCCCUUUGUGCGCUUUUGUCUCUUUCUAAUCGGGUUCUUCACUGGUUCCAGCUAAGUGACCCUAUUGUGCUCACCUCCCCUGGUUCGUCCAGCCAGGCCUCGAGGGCCAGGUGUCCGCAACUUGAUGGUGAUCAGUGGCAGUACCCCCUGCAAAUGCUUGGCUCACCUUCUUGCAGUGUGUGAGGUCUGUUGGUUGAUGUCAUAAAAUUUCCUCUACAAUCCGCUUGUUUGUGUAAAGGUUUCGUUUUAAAUCUUUACAUCCCAGCAAUUAUGAGCUUAUUCUCAAUGGACUAUCCUUACGCCCUUGUAUUUAAGUAAAGUGCAUAAUCCAAUUAUAUCCCAGAUAAAUAUUUGCACUCCUAAUGCCUGUGCAUCUCUUAUCUCUGACCUUGAGUCUCUCAGUAGAAACAUUUCAGUGCAUGUUCUGGUUGCACCAUUGUUCUCUCAGACAGAUUGAGGAGCUACUUCAUAAAUUUCCUUUAGCUCUUGUGUAACUGAUUUAUUACCUCUAUAGUUAAAACCAAAAUUGUAGUAACAGCUUGUUGAGUUAAACUUUUUCACAUCAGUCACUCAUGCUUCAUUCCAAUAAGCUUUCAUUCAUUUUGACAAAACAGGUUAACCAAACAAUUCUUUGACAAUCGUUCUCUCUCUCGUUUGUAAAUCUGUUUUUGGAUCUAUGAUUAUUAAUUGCACCAACAGAUAUUCUUUGUGCUGGGGUUCAUUUGUAGUCUCACCCUAAUAGUGAC